GACGUUGGCUUAGAAGCAGCCAUCGUUUAAAGAAAGCGUAAUAGCUCACUGGUCUAAUGGCUCUGCGCCGAAAAUGUAACGGGGCUAAGCAUGGUACCGAAGCUUUGGCAAUCCCCUUUGGGGAUUGGGUAGGGGAGCGUUCGCUGCGGGCUGAAGGUGUGCCGGAAGGCAUGCUGGACUGCAGUGAAGUGAUUAUGCUGACAUGAGUAACGAUAAAAUAUGUGAAAAACAUAUUCGCCGAAAACCCGAGGUUUCCUGGGUAAAGGUAAUCUUCCCAGGGUUAGUCGGAUCCUAAGGUGAGGGUGAAAGCCGUAACCGAUGGAAAACAGGUUAAUAUUCCUGUACUUGUUGUGUAGCGCGAUGGAGGGACGCAGGAAGAUAGGCGGGCCGGGUGUUGGAUAUCCCGGUGCAAGCGUGUAGGAAUAUCCGGUAGGCAAAUCCGCCGGACGGAUCUGAGACGCGAGUCCGUGGGCGCAAGCCCUGAAGCCGUUGAGUCUAUGCUGCCUAGAAAAGCUCCUAAGUUUAUCCACAGCAAUCCGUACCGCAAACCAACUCAGGUGGGUGGGAUGAACAAUCCAAGGCGCUCGAGAGAACUCUGGCCAAGGAACUCGGCAAAAUAACCCCGUAACUUCGGAAGAAGGGGUGCUCUCUAGGGUGACAUGUUUAACAUAUGAAGCCCCGGGGAGCCGCAGUGAAUUGGUGGUGGCGACUGUUUACUAAAAACAUAGGUCUGUGCGAAGUCCUAAAGACGACGUAUACGGACUGACGCCUGCCCGGUGCUGGAAGGUUAAAAGGAGGGGUCAGCGCAAGCAAAGCUCCGAAUUGAAGCCCCAGUAAACGGCGGCCGUAACUAUAACGGUCCUAAGGUAGCGAAAUUCCUUGUCGGGUAAGUUCCGACCUGCACGAAUGGCGUAACGAUCUCCACACUGUCUCGGCCAGAGACUCGGUGAAAUUGCAGUCGCGGUGAAAAUUCCGUGUACCCGCAGAAAGACGGAAAGACCCUGUGCACCUUUACUAUAGCUUGACAUUGGAUUUUGGGCCUGCAUGUGUAGGAUAGGUGGGAGGCUGUGAACCCUGUACGCCAGUAUGGGGGGAGCCAUCCUUGAAAUACCACCCUUGCAUGUUUAAGAUCCUAACUUCUUCCGGUUAUCCCGGAGAAAGACAGUGUCUGGCGGGUAGUUUGACUGGGGCGGUCGCCUCCUAAAGUGUAACGGAGGCAUGCAAAGGUUCCCUCAGCCUGAUCGGAAACCAGGCGCUGAGUGCAAACGCAUAAGGGAGCUUGACUGUAAGAGAGACAUCUCGAACAGGAACGAAAGUUGGCGUUAGUGAUCCGGUGGUCCCGAAUGGAAGGGCCAUCGCUCAUUGGAUAAAAGGUACGCCGGGGAUAACAGGCUGAUCGCAUCCAAGAGUUCACAUCGACGAUGCGGUUUGGCACCUCGAUGUCGGCUCAUCACAUCCUGGGGCUGAAGCAGGUCCCAAGGGUACGGCUGUUCGCCGUUUAAAGUGGUACGCGAGCUGGGUUUAAAACGUCGUGAGACAGUUUGGUCCCUAUCUUCUGUGGGCGAAGGAGAAUUGAGAGGGCCUGUCCCUAGUACGAGAGGACCGGGAUGGACGCACCCCUGGUGAUCCUGUUGUCGCGCCAGCGGCAUAGCAGGGUAGCUAUGUGCGGAAGGGAUAACCGCUGAAAGCAUCUAAGCGGGAAGCCUGCCUCAAGAUAAGUUCUCCCCUCGAAAGAGCUGAAGGGCCCGGGUAGACUACCCGGUCGAUAGGCUGGAGGUGUAAGCGCGGCGACGUGCUCAGCUGACCAGUACUAAUAGCCCGAGCGGCUUAUUU
rnacentral:rRNA from 1 species